rnacentral:rRNA from 1 species
AGUGGCGGACGGGUGAGUAAGACGUAGGUGACCUGCCGCAGAGAGGGGGAUAACCACUGGAAACGGUGGCUAAUACCGCAUGGGUUGAAGAAGAUGGGAAUCUUGUUCAACAAAGCUGAGGCGCUCUGCGAGGGGCCUACGGCCGAUUAGCUAGUUGGUGAGGUAAAGGCUCACCAAGGCGAUGAUCGGUAGCUGGUCUGAGAGGACGAUCAGCCACACGGGAACUGAGACACGGUCCCGACUCCUACGGGGGGCAGCAGUGAGGAAUAUUCGGCAAUGGGGGCAACCCUGACCGAGCAACGCCGCGUGGAGGAAGACGGUUUUUGGAUUGUAAACUCCUUUUCGGUGGGAAGAGCAAGGACGGUACCACCGGAAUAAGUCACGGCUAACUACGUGCCAGCAGCCGCGGUAAUACGUAGGUGGCAAGCGUUAUCCGGAAUUACUGGGCGUAAAGCGCACGCAGGUGGCGAGUUAAGUUCGACGUGAAAGCUCCUGGCUUAACUGGGAGAGGUCGUUGGAAACUGGCUGGCUAGAGGCGAGGAGAGGGGUGCAGAAUUCCCGGUGUAGUGGUGGAAUGCGUAGAUAUCGGGGGGAAUACCAGUGGCGAAAGCGGCACCCUGGCCUUGGCCUGACGCUCAGGUGCGAAAGCGUGGGGAGCGAACGGGAUUAGAUACCCCGGUAGUCCACGC